CAGCAGCCACGGUAAUACGUAGGUGGCAAGCGUUGUCCGGAAUUAUUGGGCGUAAAGGGCUCGCAGGCGGUUUCUUAAGUCUGAUGUGAAAGCCCCCGGCUCAACCGGGGAGGGUUAUUGGAAACUGGGAAACUUGAGUGCAGAAGAGGAGAGUGGAAUUCCACGUGUAGCGGUGAAAUGCGUAGAGAUGUGGAGGAACACCAGUGGCGAAGGCGACUCUCUGGUCUGUAACUGACGCUGAGGAGCGAAAGCGUGGGGAGCGAACAGGAUUAGAUACCCGCGUAGUCCCUGUCUCUUAUAC
rnacentral:rRNA from 1 species